GCGCCCCUCCACAGCUCUGCUCGCCCCGCCCGGGGCUGCCGGGGCCCCGGAGGCCCGGGCGGCGGGGGAGGGGCGGUCUCCGCGGCUGCUCGACCCCCCGCUCCCCUCCUGGCGGCCCGAUGAGUGGAUGGCGCUCCCUCGGGAAAAGUAAUUGGAUUCCCGGCUCCCUGCAGCCCGGAUCAGCGGAAAUCGGAGGCUGAGCCUGCAGGCCGCGGCGGCGAACUGGGCGGUGAGGAAGGACCCACGGAGACUACCCCUGGGGCCCCUUCCCUCCCGGCAGGUGACUCUUGCCCCUCCAAGUUGUCAUCAUUCUGAGAGUCACCUGGUUGCUGCUCUCCGGGAAGAGAAAUAAUCUGGAGCGUUUGAGUCUUUGAGCCACCGCCAGCCUCGUUUUUCUCUCAGAGCUCUCCUUGGAGCUAAUGGAGAAAGAGCCCUGUCUGGGAUUGGAGAUCACUCUUGUUAACCGGGUAACUCCGGAGAAAAUUACCUCCUCGCCAAAAUCAUCCGGGAAAGUAUCUCAGGCCCUUGCUUCAGCAGUAGCGAACUUCCCUAAAUUCUCUUUCCUCUGGGGAGAUGGAGCAGAAGUGGGAGACUUCAGCAGAGUUUUUUGGCUGAAAGGAGAGGAACGUGCUAGGAAUUUAAGUGACUAACUCGUCCCUCCUGCGAGUGUUUUUUCAUCUUACUGUACUUCUUCACUCAUUCAUCUCCAAACAAGCUUUUAUUGGGGGCUUUCUAUGUGCCAUUCUCUGUUGUAUUCACCAAGGACACAAACGUGAAUAAAACAAGUCCUUGCACUCAUGGAACCUCGUUAUAGUUCAGACAGUACAUGGACAAACAAAUAGAUAUACGGUAUAUUGUCGUGGAGCGAUGAAUGCCAUGAGGACAAAUAGCAGAAGGACAGACAGAGAUACAGGCGAGAGUAGCAUAGUUUUUAAUACUUCAGGUAAAUUGAUCUAGAAAGGCCUCUUUGAUGAAGUUAGGUUCUAACGGUGGCCUGAAUGAAAUGAGAGAGAAAGCCAAGCAAAUGCCAGAGGGAGAGGAACUUUCCAGGCAGAGAAAAGAACAAGUGAAAGGCUUUCAGUGUUGGGUGAGCUUUAAUUAGUGGGAAACAAGGAAGCCAACAUGAAUGCUAUGCAAUGAGCAGGAAAACAGUUGGAGAUGGUCCUUCUGACUUCCUUAUUCCUCUGUUCCCAUCUAACGUGUCAGAACAAUCAUUCUAAAUCUUCACCUUUAGUUCAUCUCUCUUUGUGCAUCAGUAAUUUCAUGGCUAUAUUUUCUAUUCCAUUCCAUUUAAAUUCUUUUGACUGAUAGUCAAGCUCUUGCCCCAACCUAGUUCCAUCUUAACCUGUGGACCAUAUUUCAAUCUACUCCUUUAGUUCUAGUUAAGUCUGUCUCAAGUAUAUUCAUGUUCAUUUAUUCUUGCAUAUUUUUGUUUAUGCAUCUCUCCUCACACAACUUAGUAUUGAUUCAGUAAGGAUGUAGGGACAUAAAAUACAACUCACAUUGGCUUAAAUAGAAGAAGGAAUUUAUUGGCUCACAUAAGUGAAUAGUUCGAGAUAGUUUUGUUAGACAUCGCUUGGCUGAAGAGUUCAAAUUAUGUCAUCAAGAUGUGGAUCCUUCCUGAUAUGUUACCUCUUUUCUCUGCUGUUGGCUUCAUUCUCAAGCUCCACAAAUGAAAAACCAGCAACUCUAGGUCACACUAUCCUCACUACCAGCAAAGGUCAAGAGCCCAUUCCUAAACCAAUCACUGUUGCCAGAAAAAGAGAUGCUCAGGUUGGCCUGGACUGAUUGACAAGCCUAUCCCAAAAGUUGAGUCUAUCAGUAACACAUGAAUGGCACAAGAAGGUGAUUUUAGGAAAAGAGGAACGGUGGAUAUGUCUUGGGUAAUGAAACACACCCCUGUUCUUCUCCUGAUGUCCUGAAACAUUCUUCCACUACAAUGCCUUCAAAAAUGUUUAUGCCUAGUCAAUGCAAUAAUAUUAUUUGCUACCAAAAGUAUACUCACUUCCUCCCCAAAGAGAGAUGAUCCAAAUUCUCAUGUAGUUACUGAAGAUAACUCCCGAGUCCAGGACAGCAGGAUAAUAAGCAUGUUUCUCUAUUAUACAGUAGUAUGGUUCCUCAAGGUCUAGUAACCUAAAGCUACAAGAUAAAAUUAGCUACAAAAUACUUAAUACAUAAUGACAGAAAAGAACAACUACAACGGAAACUCAUAUUCAGAAAAAUGACUAAUGGCAAACACAUAGUGGUCUUUGAUUCAUAGCAUAUAUCAUGCUGGACAGAAACACCAAGGCUUCUUACAAUGAGAGAGGAGAAAGUUCUUUGAUCAACACAUCUGGCUGCCAUAUGUUCAACUAUUGGAGAAUCUCUCAUCCAUUGUUCCUCCAUGCCAUAUCUGUAAUGGACAGUUGGGAGUAUAAUCCUUCUAGGGACCACACCUCUUCAACAUUCUGCUUCCUGAUAUAGUGGGGGUUGAAAAAAAACUUGUUAUUACAGAGAUAAUUGGCUUUUACCACCAAAUAGCUGUGAUCCUCUUCUGUUAUGUAGAAUUGUUGCUACGAAGUAGCUGCAUAGGCAAGGACUACAUUUCCCAAGUUCCCCUAUUAAUCUUGGUAAAUUUGUGCGAUUAAUUAUCUCCUUAGGAAUAUUAGUGGAAGUGGCAUGAAUCACUUCUUGCCAAUGCGGUUAAGAACUAGGUGUGCCUUCUAUGGUUUCUUUUUCUUCCUCUGGCUACACUGAAAGGACUCUAGGACCCUAGAGGAUAGUCGUAAGAGAGCCAUGAGAUGAAAGGAGUCUAGGUAGCUGAAUGACCUUGUAGAAUGCCACUUGAUGAUCAGAAAUACUGAUAUUGGAUUUUACAGCAGUGAAAAAUAAACAUCGGUAGUGUUAAACCAAUCAAACUUUGCAUUAUGUGUUACAGCAGUUAGUAAUAAGGCUAAUUAACUGGCCUUUAUUCUUCAGACUUAGGAUUUCUCUCACCAUACAAUUUAUGUAUUUAUUUUUUAAGUAGGCUCUAUGCCCAGUGUGGGGCUUGAACUCAUGACCCUGAGGCCAAGAGUCCCACCCUCUACAGACAGAGCCAGCCAGGUGCCACAAUUUUCUUUACUUCCUACUAAGCUUCCAGUCUGUUUGCAUCUAGCCAAUUUUAUGGGGGGAAAAAACUUCCAAAGCUGGAUGUUAUCUUAAGCUUCAGUCUUUGCAUCCAGAUUCUAAUACAGGUAUUUUUAUCUUUCUGUAAUUGACCUUGGUAUACUCCUCACUUAUGGCCUUCAUUUUGGUUUCUGCCUGAGAAUGAGUUGAAACAAUAGCUACUGAAAAAAAAAAAAAAAAGAAUAGCUACUAAUUUUGCAGGGAGGGACAUGGGCAUAGUAGUGGUGCUAGAGGGAAUAGAAUUGGAUAAUUAUUACCUUUCUAAGCAGGCAGGAAUUGCUUGAGAGAGGCCUGGGUGUGUUCAGACUUCUCCCAAGUGCCAGUCUUUUCCACUUGCCUUCAUUGGCAUUAAAAUUCUUUUGAGGCUUUUCCAACCCUAAUGGCUCUAGAUUAUUGAAAUUUCUGUCAUAUUUGAUUGCAGCCUUUAGCAAAAAUGGUCAUUUAUAUCAAAGCAGUAUUUUUUCCCCUCUCAGGCUUAGAUAAAUCAAAUUCAAUCCUAAACUUGAGUCUCUCUUGUAGGACCUAACUGAAAGCCAACAUGCCAACAUAUAAUAAUUGGUGUACUCUAGUAUCUGACCUUUUAGAAAUAUUUUUUUGCAUUUCAUACUUGUUAGGCACAUGUUUCAAAUUCUAGUAUACAACAGGUGCCACUUUGCUAUUGAAUUCCCAGUCUAGUAUAAAUGAGGCCUCAUCUGAAUCAACUGAUUCAACAUUUUAAGCUCUUUCACUUACUAAUCCCCACUUCUGGUACCAAUUUGUGAAUUGUUAAAGCUAUUUUAGUUGCAGGUGACAAGAUAAAAAAACACAAACUGACUUAUACAAAAAGGAAUAUAUUGGCUAUUGGCUCACAUAACUAAGGAACUAGUGAUAUAUUUAGCUUAAGGCAUAGCUUGAUCCAAGGGCUUAAGCAAUGUCAUUAGAAUUCUAUUUUGUUUCAUCUCUUGGCUCUGUCUUCUGUGUUGGCUUCAUUCUCAGGCUCCAUAUGGUGGCUCCUGGCAGCUCCAGUUCACAUAAUCCUUACUGUUAGCAAUCUCAGUGGAAGAGUACAUGCCUUUUUCCCAGAAGUGCCAGCAAUAAUCUCCUUAUAUUUUAUUGGCUUUGAUUAGGGCAUGUGACCAGAAGAAUGAUUACUCAUGUUAAAAGUGGAGUCCAGUCUCCCAAAAGACAUUAACUGAGAGUAAUAGAGGAAAACAGGGUAUGGUUAUCAAAAGGGUGAAUGCUGAGUAGCAAAAAAACCAAUGUCUCUCAUUAGAUACCAAUGUGUAGUGAUCCCUAAUUGCUUCACAUGUGUUGGUUUUAUCUCCUUCACUGGACUAUAAGUCUCUCUGGAGCAGGAUCAUGUAUUAUAUGUCUUAACGGUGCCAGCCCAGCAGGCAGUCCUUAGAUACUGGCUGAUUGAUUGCCUCUUUGUGUAACACUAAAGAUGGCACACCAAAGAGGGUAAAAAGAGCUUAAUAAAAGAAUGAUUUAUAGAGAUGUGGGAAGGGUUAAGGGAACCAACUAGCAAUGGUAAAACGCUUAACUGGUAACAAUAAGACUUAAGCCUGAAGGAGCAAGGAACUUUUAAGAGUAGUGUUUAGAAGAGGAUGUCUGACAAACGCUGAGACUAUAAAUAGAGAAAUGCAGCCACUGCCAAAUGUGGCCCAGGAGGGGACUGGGGAGUAAACACUUUUCCUCUUUUACCCGACUCUCCAAACUUCUUUUGGUACCUCCCAUUGGCCAAACCCAACCAGAUGUAUAGGGCUUGGAUGAUACAGUCUGUAGAGAUCAGCCUCCAGUAUAGAACAAGACAGAUAGGAUGAAAAAUGGAUCUGGAGGAGCAAGUGGAAAAUAACCAGGACAUCCUUGUUAUGCUCCUUAGAGCAACCCUCAAUAAAAACUAUUCCUGUCUUGAGAAUGUUAACCAUAUAGCCUGAUUUACCAAGAAAAUAUAAUUUUAUCUUUUCCAAUACAUUUUAAAACAUAUAACUAAUGUAGUUUAAUUUUUAUAGUAUUUUAAGGCUUUAACAUUCAUGAAUUAAUAAAGCAUGAAAAAUCUUUUGUUAGCCUAUGUAGUUAAAAAGCUAUCAUUAUUGUAUUUAUAUGGAAUUCCUCAAGAAUAUUGUACCUGGUAAUCCAUCAGAAAGCCCUGGGACAGAACUUGUCAAAUAGUGACAAAUUUGAUAAAUGUUUGAUGAUUUGAAGAAUGAUUAAAUGAAUAAAUUAGAGCAUUUAGAGUCUAUUCUAAGUGGGAAACUAGAUAGGCUCUCCUUGUUAAAUGUUGAAGCUAACUAUAUAACAUAUACCAAUCCUGUCUCUUAAAGUCUGACUCUGGCUUCUUAGCUGUUGAUCAAGUUCUUAUCUCGUGGAAAAGGGAACUGCAAUAAAUUUUGUCAACCUUUAGAAGUAAGAAGUUUUAUAAUUAACUGUCAUGCUAAUAAACUCACUAUAAAGUCCAUUUCA